CCUACGGGUGGCUGCAGUGGGGAAUAUUGCACAAUGGAGGAAACUCUGAUGCAGCGACGCCGCGUGAACGAUGAAGGCUUUCGGGUCGUAAAGUUCUGUCCUAGGGGACGAUAAUGACGGUACCCUAGGAGGAAGCCCCGGCUAACUACGUGCCAGCAGCCGCGGUAAUACGUAGGGGGCGAGCGUUGUCCGGAUUUAUUGGGCGUAAAGGGUUCGCAGGCGGUCUCUUAAGUUAGAUGUGAAAGAUCACGGCUCAACCGUGGUAAGCAUUUAAAACUGGGAGACUUGAGUUAAGGAGAGGAAAGUGGAAUUCCUAGUGUAGCGGUGAAAUGCGUAGAUAUUAGGAGGAAUACCAGUGGCGAAGGCGACUUUCUGGACUUAUACUGACGCUGAGGAACGAAAGCGUGGGGAGCAAACAGGAUUAGAUACCCUAGUAGUC
rnacentral:rRNA from 1 species